UACGUAGGGUGCAAGCGUUAAUCGGAAUUACUGGGCGUAAAGCGUGCGCAGGCGGCUUUGCAAGACAGAUGUGAAAUCCCCGGGCUUAACCUGGGAACUGCGCUUGUAACUGAUAGGCUUGAGUGUGGCAGAGGGGGGUGGAAUUCCAGGUGUAGCAGUGAAAUGCGUAGAGAUCUGGAGGAACACCGAUGGCGAAGGCAGCCCCCUGGGCUAACACUGACGCUCAUGCACGAAAGCGUGGGGAGCAAACAGG
rnacentral:rRNA from 1 species